rnacentral:tRNA from 1 species
GGGCCUGUAGCUCAGUUGGGAGAGCGCGUGAAUGGCAUUCACGAGGUCGAGGGUUCGAACCCCUUCAGGUCCA